GACGAACGCUGGCGGCGUGCUUAACACAUGCAAGUCGAACGGAAAGGCCCUGCUUUUGUGGGGUGCUCGAGUGGCGAACGGGUGAGUAACACGUGAGUAACCUGCCCUUGACUUUGGGAUAACUUCAGGAAACUGGGGCUAAUACCGGAUAGGAGCUCCUGCUGCAUGGUGGGGGUUGGAAAGUUUCGGCGGUUGGGGAUGGACUCGCGGCUUAUCAGCUUGUUGGUGGGGUAGUGGCUUACCAAGGCUUUGACGGGUAGCCGGCCUGAGAGGGUGACCGGCCACAUUGGGACUGAGAUACGGCCCAGAGUACUACGGGAGGCAGCAGUGGGGAAUAUUGCACAAUGGGCGGAAGCCUGAUGCAGCAACGCCGCGUGCGGGAUGACGGCCUUCGGGUUGUAAACCGCUUUCGCCUGUGACGAAGCGUGAGUGACGGUAAUGGGUAAAGAAGCACCGGCUAACUACGUG
rnacentral:rRNA from 1 species